UUUUAUAUAGUUAUGUAUAUGUAUGUGUAUGGUGUAAAUUAAAAACAAAAAAUAAAAAUAAAAAUAAAAAGAAAAUGGGUGGGACCCACAAAUGUUUUAAGUCGUCAUGAAACCAUAUUUGCUCUCUGUUCUCUCAUCCUCUCUCCCGCUGCUCUGUCUUCCUCUCAGCUUUCUGUUUUCUUUUUCUUUUUCUUUUUUUCUUUUUUUCACUUCAAAGCUUCCAUUCUUGAUUCCUCUUUCAAUUCUUGGUAUUUUUAAGUGUCGUUUGCGGUAAAUUAAAGCUCACGGCAAGGCCUACAAGUUGGUAAGAGCAAUUCCUUGGUUGGUGCACCAUAGGAAAUUUGAAAUCCUAGGGUUUGAGGUGAAAAAAAUUGGGGGUUUUGCAUAAAAUUGAGGGCCGGGAAAGGAAAUAGUGGAUGCCAAUCCCUCUCAAGCAUGAAGAGAACUAAAGAUCUAUUUUGAUACCUUUUGUGUUUUGGUUAAUUUUUGUAAAGUCUUAAAUUAUGGAAAAGAGUAUUAAUAUUAUUUUAUCAUGGCCAUGUAACAUAACUAAGGUACUUGACUAUUUUUGGAUGUAAAUUGAGACUAUGUAAAUGCUUAAGUUGAAUGGGAUGACGAUGAUGGGCCAACUUGAGCAGAUUGUUGAUGUGGUAGUAUCGGGGAAUGUAUUAUAUAUUUUUUUUUUUUGUAUUGUGUGUUGGGACAGGUUGGAGUAGUCUUGAAAGGCCAAGAAAGGCUAUUGCAUUUUUUUUUAAUUAAGCAGGUUGUUGUAGGCCCCUGUUUGGUAGAGGUCAUACCGAAUUUUUUUAUAUAUAUAAAUGGUAUCAGUUUAGGGUCGUUA